UACGAAGGUGGCAAGCGUUGUUCGGAUUUACUGGGCGUAAAGGGCUCGUAGGCGGCCAACUAAGUCGGAUGUGAAAUCCCCAGGCUUAACCUGGGAACUGCAUCCGAUACUGGAUGGCUUGAAUCCGGGAGAGGGAUGCGGAAUUCCAGGUGUAGCGGUGAAAUGCGUAGAUAUCUGGAGGAACACCGGUGGCGAAGGCGGCAUCCUGGACCGGCAUUGACGCUGAGGAGCGAAAGCCAGGGGAGCAAACGGG
rnacentral:rRNA from 1 species